rnacentral:rRNA from 1 species
CCUACGGGGGGCAGCAGUGAGGAAUAUUGGUCAAUGGACGCAAGCCUGAACCAGCCAUGCCGCGUGCAGGAUGACGGCUCUCUGAGUUGUAAACUGCUUUUGUACGAGGGUAAACCCCGAUACGUGUAUCGGGUUGAAAGUAUCGUACGAAUAAGGAUCGGCUAACUCCGUGCCAUCAGCCGCGGUACUACGGAGGGUCCGAGCGUUAUCCGGAUUUAUUGGGUUUAAAGGGGGCGUAGGCGGUUUGAUAAGUUAGAGGUGAAAUGUCGGGGCUCAACCCCGGAACUGCCUCUAAUACUGUUGGACUAGAGAAUAGUUGCGGUAGGCGGAAUGUAUGGUGUAGCGGUGAAAUGCUUAGAGAUCAUACAGAAUACCGAUUGCGAAGGCAGCUUACCAAACUAUAUCUGACGUUGAGGCACGAAAGCGUGGGUAGCAAACAGGAUUAGAUACCCCUGUAGUC